ACGUAGACGCUAUUCCCUAAGAUUAACCCAUGCAUGUUUUUGACAUUUGAAAAAUGGACUGCUCAGUAAUACUCACUUUAUUUUAUGUAAAUUUUUAAUUAACUACGUUAAAGUGUAGAUAAGAUGUUUACAGUAAGAGUGAGACCUAUCAGCUAGUUGUUAAGGUAAUGGCUUAACAAGGCUGUGACGGGUAACGGUAUUACUUUGUAAUAUUCCGGAGAAGGAGCCUGAGAGACGGCUACUAAGUCUAAGGAUUGCAGCAGGGGCGAAACUUGACCUAUGGAUUUUAUCUGAGGCAGUUAUGGGAAGUAAUAUUAUAUUGUUUCAUAUUUUAAAAGUAUAUGAGGUGAUUAAUUGGAGGGCAAAUCAAGUGCCAGCAGCCGCGGUAAUACUUGUUCCAAGAGUGUGUAUGAUGAUUGAUGCAGUUAAAAAGUCCGUAGUUUAUUUUUUUAAGAAGCAAUAUGAGGUGUACUGUAUAGUUGGGAGAAAGAUGAAAUGUGACGACCCUGACUGGACGAACAGAAGCGAAAGCUGUACACUUGUAUGUAUUUUUUGAACAAGGACGUAAGCUGGAGGAGCGAAGAUGAUUAGAUACCAUUGUAGUUCCAGCAGUAAACUAUGCCGACGAUGUGAUAUGAAAAUGUUAAUUUGUAUUACAUAAUAGAAAUUUGAGUUUUUUGGCUCUGGGGAUAGUAUGAUCGCAAGAUUGAAAAUUAAAGAAAUUGACGGAAGAAUACCACAAGGAGUGGAUUGUGCGGCUUAAUUUGACUCAACGCGAGGUAACUUACCAAUAUUUUAUUAUUUUGAUAGAACGGUUUUUUGUUUGAGAAUGAUAAUAGUGGUGCAUGGCCGUUUUCAAUGGAUGCUGUGAAGUUUUGAUUAAUUUCAACAAGACGUGAGACCCUUAUUUUUUAUUAAAGACAGACACAAUCAGUGUAGGAAGGAAAGGAUUAAAACAGGUCCGUUAUGCCCUCUGACAUUUUGGGCUGCACGCGCAAUACAAUAGAUAUAUAAUCUUUAUGGGAUAAUAUUUUGUAAGAGAUAUUUGAACUUGGAAUUGCUAGUAAAUUUUAUUAAAUAAGUAGAAUUGAAUGUGUCCCUGUUCUU
rnacentral:rRNA from 1 species